UUUGCCUUCCCCUAACUCUCUCCCGCGGCUUCUCCUUCCCCUCUCCCCAGGUUCUGUGUCCUACCUCCAGCCAUCCCUUCCCUCCAAUUUUCCCCCUCACCCCUAAGCUUUACUCCUCCCUUACCCCUCACCCCACAAAUUCCUCUAACUUCGCCUCCCUUCGCCCCAAGCUCUCUCUCCCCUCGACCUUCAGCCUUUAUCUGUUUCACUGCCUACAUAGACUUACCUCCCGUCCACCAUUCAUUGACAGUGUCCACAAUCUUCAUCUCACCUUCACCUCUCUCAUCAUCCAUCCUGAAAUGGAAUGAGUGCCCCUGGUGCUGCUAUUCUCACCUGCAGCUUUUGGCAUUGGAACCUGUAUAUCAUGGCCACUCGCAGGUAGUCCAUCAGGACCGAGGAUGACGGCUCCUCCCAGUGUCACAACAUGGAUUCUGACCAUUAGGACAUGAUCUUCCGUUCUGGUGUUGGUGGUCCUGAGCUACCCACUUCGGGCAUUACCUGCUCUGGGCUUCCCAGCCUAUGCCAUUCCAUUCCCCUCCCCCAACC